AUGACCAGGAGAUCCGCGGUGUUCAAGGCUGCCGCGGCCCCUGCCCGCGGCAACCCUGAGCAGCGACUGGACUACGAGCGGGCUGCGGCUCUGGGCGGGCCCGAGGACUAGCCCGGGGCGGCCGAAGCCCACUUCCUCCCCGGGCACCGUAAGCUCAAGGAGCCGGGCCCCUGCUGGCCUCCUCCCAGGGCGGGAGCCCCGCCCUUUCCCCAGCCUGCUGGGGCGGCAAGGGCCGGGGCUUGUUACUCCCGGCCGGGGCGGCCCCGGGGCAGCAGGAAGAGAGCUGGGGCGGUUCGGUGCCCUUGCCCUGUCUGCCGCCAGCCACCAAGCAAGCCGGCAUUGGCGGGGAGCCCGCCGCCGCCGCCGCCGCCGCCGCCGCCGCCGCCGCCGCCGGAGCCGGCCGCAGCCCCCGGCCCAAGUAUCAGGCGGUGCUACCCAUUCAGACGGGCUCUCUCGUGGCGGCGGCCAAAAAGCCUACGCCCUGGGCGGAGCACAAGGGUGGGGCGGCCUCCCCCGCUGCCACCGCCUCGGACCCGGGCUGACCCCCACCACUACCUCUGCCCGGGCCGCCACCCCUCGCGCCCACCGCCACCGCUGGGAACCUGGCGGCCAGCGAGGGCAGAUGGAAGAGUAUGAGGAAGAGCCCUCUCCAGGGUGGCGGUGGCUCAGGAGCCUCCAGUCAGGCCGCCUGCCUCAAACAGGUCCUUCUGCUGCAGUUGGACCUUAUCGAACAGCAACAGCUGCAGGCCAAGGAAAAGGAGAUAGAGGAGCUGAAGACUGAGAGAGACACGCUCCUUGCUCGGAUUGAACGUAUGGAAAGGCGGAUGCAGCUGGUAAAGCAGGAUAAUGAGAAAGAAAGGCACAAGCUGUUUCAGGGCUGUGAAACUGAAGAGAGAGAGGAAACAGAGCUAUCUGAGAAAAUUAAACUGGAGUGCCAGCCGGAGCUUUCCGAGACAUCCCAGACUUUGCCUCCCAAGCCUUUCUCAUGUGGGCGGAGUGGAAAGGGACACAAAAGGAAAUCCCCAUUUGGAAGUACAGAAAGAAAGACUCCUGUUAAAAAGCUGGCUCCUGAAUUUUCAAAAGUCAAAACAAAAACUCCUAAGCACUCACCUAUUAAAGAGGAACCUUGUGGUUCCUUAUCUGAAACUGUAAACGUGAAUUGAGGAGCCAAGAAACCCCAGAAAAGCCCUGGUCUUCAGUGGACACCCCACGAAGACUCUCCACUCCCCAAAAGGGACCCAGCGUCCAUCCCGAGGAGAAAGCCUUCUCAAGCGAGACAGAAGAUUUCCACCAUAGAAAUGUAUUUGUGUCAUUGGCACCAGCCUCCCCCAUCACGGUUACCAUUAUGGGAAUCCUCUCCAAAGAAGGAGGAGACUGUAGCAAUUCCUUCUUGGAGGGACCACUCAGUAGAGCCUCUAAGGGACCCAAAUCCUUCAGACCUUUUGGAGAACCUGGAUGACAGUGUGUUUUCAAAGCGGCAUGCAAAACUGGAGCUGGAUGAGAAGAGAAGGAAAAGAUGGGAUAUUCAGAGGAUCAGGGAACAAAGAAUUUUACAGCGACUGCAGCUCAGAAUGUAUAAAAGGAAAGGAAUUCAGGAAUCUGAGCCUGAGGUUACCUAAUUUUUCCCUGAGCCAGAUCAUGUUGAAAGUUUGAUGACUACCCCCUUCUUGCCUGU